AAAUGCAGCCCCUGGCAAUGUCCUUACAAAUUUGGUUCUGGAUGCUAUUGUGAAACUAGAUGCAGCUGGUCUGUUUGUAGACUGCGUAGUGUGUGAUGGAGCAACAACAAACCGUUCAAUGUGGAAAAAGUUUGGUAUUGGCAUAAAAGAUGAGAAGAAAGUUUGUAAUUCAGUUACCCACCCAUGUAGUGAAACAGGCGACAGAAAGUUAUAUUUCAUUUCUGAUGGUCCACACUUGUUUAAGUGCAUAAGAAACAGAUGGCUUAAAUCACGUGUAUUUAAGAUCGGGAUGGAAGAAGCAUGCAUGAACCACUUGGAACUUCUACUGAAGUAUGACAGUAAAGCGGCAGGCCUAAGAAUGGCCCCAAAUUUAACAUAUAAACAUGUGCAGCCAAAUAAUUUCCAGAAAAUGAGUGUUACUCUCAUGAAGCAGCUUUUCAGCAUGGAAACAGCUGCAGCUUUGAAGUUUUACAGUAACAAGCCUGGUCUAGAAAAUAUUUCUGGCACUGUAAAUUACAUAGAAAAAGUUGCACAAGUUUAUUCCAUACUAGACAACAACAAACCAUGGAAAGGCCUGACUGUUGGAUCAGAUGAUGAAAAGGUAAAACUCUAAAUUUUGAAAUAUUUCAAUAUUAUGUCUGUACAUAAC